UUUGAUGCUGUCUUUCAGAAUCACUAUCGGUGUUCCCUGAGGAGCGUCAGCCUUGCUCUUAGAUGAUGGUGAUGUUUAUCUCCCUG
rnacentral:lncRNA from 1 species